CCCGCCAAGUUUCCUGCUCAAUCUUCUCCAGCAAACUGUUUGGAGAUGGAAAGACAGCAGAAACGUAAUUGACCUCAGUGCUUUGACUCUCCCUGGCCCUGCAGACAGAGGAGCAGAAGGUGGCAGAGCUUACAGCAGGCUGAAGAGCUCCCUGUAGUUCUCAUCACCUUUUCCUUCGGACACCAGGCUGUCCAGCUUAUCGAUCAACUCGGCUUCCACCUGCAGGAAGAGGGAUCAAAUCAAUCACUCAGACACACUUUCAA